UACGGGGGGGGCAAGCGUUGUUCGGAAUUACUGGGCGUAAAGCGUGCGUAGGCGGUAUUGAGAGUCGCGGGUGAAAUCCCAGGGCUUAACCCUGGAACUGCCUGCGAGACCUCAGUACUAGAGUGUGAGAGGGGAUAGUGGAAUACCCAGUGUAGCGGUGAAAUGCGUAGAGAUUGGGUGGAACACCGGUGGCGAAGGCGGCUAUCUGGCUCACAACUGACGAUCAGGCACGAAAGCGUGGGGAGCAAACAGG
rnacentral:rRNA from 1 species